GGUCAUGAGUGCCAGCGCCAAGCCCCGGCUCGCUGGCCGGCAACCCUCCUUACGCGGUGGGGUGCCCCGGGUGAAGACCUGGCUGCCCGGCGCCCGCCGGACGGCAAGCGCGGCGC
rnacentral:ncRNA from 2 species